AUUUAUAUAGUUUAGAAAAAACACUACAUUUUCAUUGUAAAAAUAAAGAUAAAUAAUACUUUUAUAAAUA
rnacentral:tRNA from 1 species